CAAAAAUCUGAAAGUCAUUAUCAGUGAACACAAGAAUGUAAAUACAGUGCACUCGGCCAGUCCUUCACAAAAAAUCACGCUUGCCUGGCAAUGCACAGCUUUGGAAGGGGAGGCGCUGCUACACUGGAGUGUGGUGUUUUUCUUUCUCUCUUUCUUUCUUUCUCUGUCUCUCUCUCUUUUUUUUUUUAACUGCAUUCCUUUACUGGAAAGGGUGGAAAUGCUGCCAGGCCCAGCUGCCGGCUCGUGGGAAGGCUCCGGAGGCUUUUCACCUUCAAAGCCCUUGAGAGAUGCCUUGGCCGUGUCACUGAGCCGGCCAGGCCUUUCCCCAGGUCUGUGCUGUCCAAUAGGGGAGCCAGCAGCCACCUGUGGCCAGUGAGCGCUUGAAAUCCAGCUCAUGAACGGAGCGGCUCCAUUUUCCAUUUAUUUCAGGGCACAAGUGCUGUCCCUGAUACUUCGGUCCUGGAGCCCUGGCACGAAGCACACACAGCAGGCUGACCACCGAGCCAGGAGUCCUGGGGAUGGAGGUCACCCGAGGAAACGGAGACCUGGUGCAUGUCCUCGAGAGGCCUGUAAUCUAGUUGAUGAUCUGAUCUUAAAUUCAGGAAAUGUUUUAAACUCUCUCCAAAGGUGUGUAAAACUCGGUGGCAGAGAUGGCGUGACUUUUCAGCAGGGCCAUUUAUGCGGCCCUGAUAUUUUUACCUGGAUUCUAUUUCCCAUUCGUGAAACCCAGCUGCCCGUCAGACAGGCCUCAGAUGCAUGUGGCAAUUCUUCUGAAACAAUUCAAGUUUCAGAGGGGAAUGUGAAUCUACCUCCAGGCUUCUCUAUGCAUUUUGUAGGCUCUCUUGGCAAUGGUACCCGCUUCAGAACAAGUUCUUUAGAUUUAGGGGCAAACUGGCCAAAGGAGGGACACAUAUAUUUCUUAUUUGCUGGGUCAAGUAUCACAGUUUCUUAGGUCCUAGAAAUCCUGGUACUUGCACUUCAGAAUCCCAAACUCAAAUACUAUAUACUGGUAUAUAAACUCAAAUACUAUGGCCUCGUUGUUCGUCUAUCUGAAGACUGAAGCCCCAAAAUCUUAAGAGAAUUUCCCCUUCUCAUCGAGGAGGAAAACACUUUUUGUGAAAGUUAAACCCACACGGGUUCCCCAGGGCAACAGAACCAAGAAGUGACACUGGGGGAGUGGUGUGUCCUGAGCCCCUGCCAUCCACCGUCCGCCACGGGGCUGGGUUGAGGGGCAUUGGCAAAGGGCAGGAGGGGAAGCGAGUGCCCAGCUGGCUGGAGUGAGGAUGCAGAGCGGCGUAAAGGACGUGGCCCAGAACACCAGGGCCGGAACUGAGCAAGAGAGGAACUGAGACAGAUGUUACUCUGGAAGCCUGCACGUCAAAUUCCUCAAAGCACAGAAGUGCCAUCAACACCGUGUGUUCCUCUAGAAUAAAACUCAUGCACGGGAGGUGCCUGCACUGGCUUUCCCUGUGCAUCAGGCACGGCCUUUCACCCAGCAAGAUGCCACAGAAGGGCAGGACCCAUGACAGAGGUUCACCUUACCUUAAGACUUGGAAUUUUGGGGAGCUCAGACUCAUCGACGGGAGAUGUGGGGAGAAUUCGUGGGCUACUUGGGCAAACUCGGCACCUGCCUCUGAGAGCUGGUUGGACGUUUGACUUAGAAAAAGACUCUCAGAAGGUGUGACUCAGGGCCUCAUGGAGUUCUACCAUGGAGAUGAGGGUUGCUUUUUGAUGCAACGAUGUAUCAUCUGCCAUU